AUUGAACGCUGGCGGCAGGCCUAACACAUGCAAGUCGAGCGGAUGAAGGGAGCUUGCUCCUGGAUUCAGCGGCGGACGGGCGAGUAAUGCCUAGGAAUCUGACUGGCAGAGGGGAAUAACGUCCGGAAACGGGCGCUAAUACCGCAUACGUCCUGAGGGAGAAAGUGGGGGAUCUUCGGACCUCACGCUACCAGAUGAGACUAGGACGGAUUAGCUAGUUGGUGGGGUAACGGCCUACCAAGGCGACGAUCCGUAACUGGUCUGAGAGGAUGAUCAGUCACACUGGAACUGAGACACGGUCCAGACUCCUACGGGAGGCAGCAGUGGGGAAUAUUGGACAAUGGGCGAAAGCCUGAUGCAGCCAUGCCGCGUGUGUGAAGAAGGUCUUCGGAUUGUAAAGCACUUUAAGUUGGGAGGAAGGGCAGUAAGUUAAUAUCUUGCUGUUUUGACGUUACCAACAGAAUAAGCACCGGCUAACUUCGUG
rnacentral:rRNA from 1 species